rnacentral:misc_RNA from 1 species
AAAUGAUGGUUGAGAAUAGGUAACAUAAAUGCACGAAAGGAAAACUCAGAAGCUUCAGGAGAUAGACCGGAGUCCACACAUUGACAGGAGUUUAACUGACUUCCAUUUGUACUUAAAUUAGGAUCUACAUAUAGGUUUUGUACUUUUGUGGGCCAAUAAAGGGAGGCUUUGCAGGAGAGGUGUCAAUUUGGGUCUUGCAAUGAUUUGGAGUGUUCAUCGUUUGGUCGCUGAUGUUUCUCUCUGCUUCUUUUUCUUCAAAAUAUUGUUUUGGCUUUUAAAGUGAAGAAGCAUAAGUUUCCUGUGAACGAUAAAAGAUUGUCUGCUGUUCUUAGUUAAGCAUGAAUAUCCUGCUCUGAUUUUGCGAAGAUUGAAGGCCUAGUUGUCAUUUGAGAAUUAUAUAUCCAAGUGUUAUUGUUGUAAAAAAGAUUUGUUGGUGGUUCAUAUAAACUCAACUCUAGAAAUCAGUAUGCUGUAGUUGAGUUUGAAACAUGCUUGGGUGAUCCAAUUCUUAGUCCUAGACAUGAUUCAUUUAAAACGUGAAAUCUAAAUGAUUUUCCAUGUGGGAGCUGCCACACCCUUGUUCUCUGCCUUCUAACUUUCUUUUGAGCAAUGUGUUGGCAUCAGAUACUGCUAACUCCAAUAACUAGACUAAUUCAAGACACUUUCCUACUGCUCUAGUAUCUGAACGUGUUUAAUAUUCUAUUACAAAAGUUCAUUUUUCUGCCUUAGGAGGACCUGAUUUUUUAAUUGAUAAUUACAUGGUUUUAAUUGAAGAUAUUCUGGCCUAUUCUAGUUGUCUUUUAUUUUAUUUUAUAGAGCAUAGUUUUUUCUUUGUAUCCAUUCUCCUUUCCAUUUUCUUUUUAGACAAAAUUCAAAUAUGCCAUAACUUAUAUGCCAAGAUGCUAUUUCUUCUUCAUGAGAUAUUCAUCAUAUUUUGUUCUUGUUUUUGUUUAUAUUAGACAUAAAAUGCCUUUAUUUAGCAAUUUCUCCUCCUUGAGUUAAGGUUGAAUGACCACAGUCAAUUGGGAUGUUCUUGUUGUUUGAUUUCAUUUUUUUUUUGCUGGGGAAUGUGGCCUGGAUGAUGCAAGUCCAGCAGGGAUUCUUCACAUAACCGUACUCAUUGAAUUGAAAAUUUGAGAUCAAGUAUUUGGUGUAUUGUAUCUUUAUAAAUUCAACCCCUGUCCCCUUUUUUUUUCCUUCUUUUUCUUUCAAUUUUGUUUUGCAUUCUUAGUAGCUUAGGCUGUCCUGCUGACCUGCUUGAAAAAUUUCAGGCACCUUUGGAUGAAACAUGGAGA